AUUGAACGCUGGCGGCAUGCCUUACACAUGCAAGUCGAACGGUAACGCGGGGCAACCUGGCGACGAGUGGCGAACGGGUGAGUAAAGUAUCGGAACGUGCCCAGUAGUGUGGGAUAGCCCGGCGAAAGCCGGAUUAAUACCGCAUGAGACCUGAGGGUGAAAGCGGGGGAUCGCAAGACCUCGCGCUAUUGGAGCGGCCGAUAUCAGAUUAGGUAGUGGGUGGGGUAAAGGCCUACCAAGCCGACGAUCUGUAGCUGGUCUGAGAGGACGACCAGCCACACUGGGACUGAGACACGGCCCAGACUCCUACGGGAGGCAGCAGUGGGGAAUUUUGGACAAUGGGCGAAAGCCUGAUCCAGCCAUGCCGCGUGCGGGAAGAAGGCCUUCGGGUUGUAAACCGCUUUUGUCGGGGAAGAAAUCUUCUGGGUUAAUACCCUGGGAGGAUGACGGUACCCGAAGAAUAAGCACCGGCUAACUACGUGCCAGCAGCCGCGGUAA
rnacentral:rRNA from 1 species